UACAGAGGUCCCAAGCGUUGUUCGGAUUCACUUGGCGUAAAGGGUGCGUAGGCGGUCGGGUAAGUCUGAUGUGAAAUCUCACAGCUUAACUGUGAAACUGCAUUGGAUAUUAUCCGGCUCGAGGAAUGGAGGGGAGACUGGAAUACUUGGUGUAGCAGUGAAAUGCGUAGAUAUCAAGUGGAACACCAGUGGCGAAGGCGAGUCUCUGGACAUUUCCUGACGCUGAGGCACGAAAGCCAGGGGAGCAAACGGG
rnacentral:rRNA from 1 species